UUUUAUAAUUUAGUGACAGUUUACAAUUAUACAAUUAAAGCGUAUGUACACUCCCCAAAAGGGGAAGCACUUAUAUCUUCCCAGAAGGAAGACACGAUUUGUUAAUGAUCCUUCCGCAGGUUCACCUACGGAAA
rnacentral:misc_RNA from 1 species